rnacentral:rRNA from 1 species
UACAGAGGUCCCAAGCGUUGUUCGGAUUCAUUGGGCGUAAAGGGUGCGUAGGUUGCGGGGUAAGUCAGGUGUGAAAUCUCGGGGCUCAACCCCGAAACUGCACUUGAUACUGCCUUGCUUGAGUACUGGAGAGGAGAUUGGAAUUUACGGUGUAGCAGUGAAAUGCGUAGAUAUCGUAAGGAAGACCAGUGGCGAAGGCGAAUCUCUGGACAGUUACUGACACUGAGGCACGAAGGCCAGGGGAGCAAACGGG